UCGUAGUUGGAUACGAAUAGACCUUCGGGUCAUGCACCUCAGCAGGCUGGCGACGGCUCCCGGGGAGAAACCCUCAGGAGCUGGCUGGCGGAUUGUAAUGUCACCUCGCGCGGGGAUAGAUCCUCUGCAGACGACUUAAGUGACCAAGCGGGUCGUGUAAGCGGUCAAGUAGCCUUGUUGCUACGAGUCGCUGAGCGUCAGCCCGACCUUGGCUAGAUUU
rnacentral:rRNA from 1 species